rnacentral:rRNA from 1 species
UACGUAGGGUCCGAGCGUUGUCCGGAGUUACUGGGCGUAAAGGCGCGUAGGCGGCCGAUCAAGUCAGGCGUGAAAUUCCCGGGCUCAACCUGGGGCUGCGCUUGAUACUGAUUGGCUUGAAUGCGGGAGAGGAUAGUGGAAUUCCCAGUGUAGAGGUGAAAUUCGUAGAUAUGCGGAGGAACACCGAUGGCGAAGGCAAUCCCCUGGACCUGUACUGACGCUCAUGCACGAAAGCGUGGGGAGCAAACAGG